UACGGGGGGAGCAAGCGUUGUUCGGAUUUACUGGGCGUAAAGGGCGCGUAGGCGGCCACCGCAAGUCGACUGUGAAAUCUCCGGGCUUAACCCGGAAAGGUCAGCCGAUACUGCGGGGCUAGUGUGCAGAAGGGGCAACUGGAAUUCUCGGUGUAGCGGUGAAAUGCGUAGAUAUCGAGAGGAACACCUGCGGCGAAGGCGGGUUGCUGGGCUGACACUGACGCUGAUGCGCGAAAGCUAGGGGAGCGAACGGG
rnacentral:rRNA from 1 species